AGGAGGAACAGCCCCAGUGGCGGGGCAGCUCUGCAGCCCUGGAUUCAGCCCCCGCAGGGACUCCGGGGCUCUCCGUCUGCAGGCCCUGGAGGCUCCGGGGCGGG
rnacentral:pre_miRNA from 1 species